rnacentral:rRNA from 1 species
CAGCCGCCGCGGUAAUACGGAGGGGGCUAGCGUUGUUCGGAAUUACUGGGCGUAAAGCGCACGUAGGCGGCUUGGUAAGUUAGAGGUGAAAGCCUGGAGCUCAACUCCAGAAUUGCCUUUAAGACUGCCGAGCUAGCAGGUGAGAGAGGUAAGUGGAAUUCCGAGUGUAGAGGUGAAAUUCGUAGAUAUUCGGAAGAACACCAGUGGCGAAGGCGGCUCACUGGCUCAUACUGGACGCUGAGGUGCGAAAGCGUGGGGAGCAAACAGGAUUAGAUACCCCGGUAGUCCCUGUCUCUUAUAC